rnacentral:rRNA from 1 species
UGAAGGUCUUCGGAUUGUAAACUGCUUUUGUCAGGGAAGAAAAGGUCUGUGUUAAUACCAUAGACUGCUGACGGUACCUGAAGAAUAAGCACCGGCUAACUACGUGCCAGCAGCCGCGGUAAUACGUAGGGUGCAAGCGUUAAUCGGAAUUACUGGGCGUAAAGCGUGCGCAGGCGGUUCUGUAAGACAGAUGUGAAAUCCCCGGGCUCAACCUGGGAAUGGCAUUUGUGACUGCAGGACUAGAGUUCAUCAGAGGGGGGUGGAAUUCCAAGU